rnacentral:sRNA from 1 species
CGGGAGGAGAAUCCCUCCGUGUGGCCGAC